rnacentral:tRNA from 1 species
GGAGGAGUGGCAGAGCGGUUGAUUGCACCGGUCUUGAAAACCGGCGUACCGAGAGGUACCGGGGGUUCGAAUCCCUCCUCCUCCG